rnacentral:rRNA from 1 species
UGUUUCGGCUAGGGGGUCAUCCCGACUUACCAACCCGAUGCAAACUACGAAUACCGAAGAAUGUUAUCACGGGAGACACACGGCGGGUGCUAACGUCCGUCGUGAAGAGGGAAACAACCCAGACCGCCAGCUAAGGUCCCAAAGUCAUGGUUAAGUGGGAAACGAUGUGGGAAGGCACAGACAGCCAGGAUGUUGGCUUAGAAGCAGCCAUCAUUUAAAGAAAGCGUAAUAGCUCACUGGUCGAGUCGGCCUGCGCGGAAGAUGUAACGGGGCUAAACCAUGCACCGAAGCUGCGGCAGCGACACUAUGUGUUGUUGGGUAGGGGAGCGUUCUGUAAGCCUGCG